AUGUUCCCCUUCCCUCACCUUGUGUCCCCCCAUCUUGUCCCACAUGUCCCCAAGGUGUCCCCAGUGUCACCACCCAUGUUCCCACAGUAUUCCCAAGGUGUCCCCCAGGGUGUCCCCACUGUCACCAUCCCCGUGUCCCCCUGGUGUCCCCCAUUGUCCCCAAGUGGGGGUGGGGGUCACUCGUGGGGGUCAUUGGGUCACUCGUGGUCAUGGGUCACUCAUGAUGGUCAUGGGUCACUCAUGGUGGUCAUGGGUCACUCGUGGUGGUGGGUCCAUCAUCAUCAUCACGGUGGUCACUCGUGGUGGUCAUUGGGUCACUCAUGGUCAUGGGUCACUCAUGGCGGUCAUUGGGUCACUCAUGGUGGUCAUUGGGUCACUCAGGGUAGCAUCAUGUGGGUCACUCAUGGUGACAUUGUGGGGGGUCACUCAUGGUGGUCAUGGGUCAUGAUGGGCAUUGGGUCACUCAUGGUGGGAUCAUGGUGGUCACUCAUGGUGGUGAUUGGGCCACUCAUGGUGGUCAUUGGGUCACUCAGGGUGGCAUCAUGUGGGUCACUCAUGGAGACAUUGUGGGGGGUCACUCAUGGUGGUCAUUGGGUCACUCAUGGUGGCCAUUGGGUUACUCGGGGUGGGAUCAUGUUGGUCACUCAUGGUGGUCGUGGGUCACUCCGGCCAUGGUGGGGGUCACUCAUCACGGUGGCGUGGGGCUGGCGUGUCCCUCCUGGGGACGGGUCACUCCUCAUCGUGCAGCUUCUGGAGGUGACAGAAGGUGACAGAGGGUGACAGGGGGUGACAGGGGAUGACAGGGGGUGACAGAGGGUAACAGGGGGUGACGGGGGGUGACCCCCCCCCCCCCCCCCCCCCCCCCCCCCCCCCCCCCCCCCCCCCCCCCCCCCCCCCCCCCCCCCCCCCCCCCCCCCCCCCCCCCCCCCCCCCC
rnacentral:lncRNA from 12 species